GAUGAACGCUGGCGGCGUGCCUAAUACAUGCAAGUCGAGCGAACGGACGAGAAGCUUGCUUCUCUGAUGUUAGCGGCGGACGGGUGAGUAACACGUGGAUAACCUACCUAUAAGACUGGGAUAACUUCGGGAAACCGUAGCUAAUACCGGAUAAUAUUUUGAACCGCAUGGUUCAAAAGUGAAAGACGGUCUUGCUGUCACUUAUAGAUGGAUCCGCGCUGCAUUAGAUAGUUGGUAAGGUAACGGCUUACCAAGGCAACGAUGCAUAGCCGACCUGAGAGGGUGAUCGGCCACACUGGAACUGAGACACGGUCCAGACUCCUACGGGAGGCAGCAGUAGGGAAUCUUCCGCAAUGGGCGAAAGCCUGACGGAGCAACGCCGCGUGAGUGAUGAAGGUCUUCGGAUCGUAAAACUCUGUUAUUAGGGAGGAACAUAUGUGUAAGUAACUGUGCACAUCUUGACGGUACCUAAUCAGAAAGCCACGGCUAACUACGUG
rnacentral:rRNA from 1 species